rnacentral:lncRNA from 1 species
UCGGUAUGCAAAGGAUGCAGAGGAGGAGGACGUCCUGCAUGGCUGGCUCCAAAAAACAGGCACGGAUUUCUGAAUGAACACAGAGACCGGUGUGUCGCGGUGUGUCAGGCUGCUAAAUCUGCUGCAGCAGUAACGCUGGCAGACGUGGACAAAGGCUCUGCUUUGGAGGAUGCAGAAAUGAGACACAUCGCAGGCUACUGCUGUCCAUCAAAGCACUGAAAA